GGCGACGGGUUCCUGGCUGUGGUGUACGGCUGCUCACCAUACUACGAGAUCUCACAGGACUGGACGGCAAAUAGUCGCGUCUGCUCCGGGCUUCAGCGGGGACACAAGCAGCCCUUCUACAGCCUGCUGCUGGAGGGUGACCGGUUCGGAUACAUGGCUGAGGAGGAGCUGCAGCUGUCCCCGGAUCCCCAGCCAAUCAGCCAUCAGGAAGUGGGUCGCUUC